rnacentral:rRNA from 1 species
UAGGCCGCAGUCCAGAAUUUUUGUCAAUGCUGGAAAGAGUGAACAAGCUAAGAGAAAUCACUUGACUCAUUGUUAUAGGUGGUGAAUGUGAUAAGGUGUAGGGAUUUUUUUGAUAUUACCUCACUAAAAGUGUUGUCCAAAUCUGGUGCCAGAAGACUCGGUAAGACCAGAAAGGCAAACGUUAGUCAUGUUAAUCUGGCGUAAAGGGUAAGUAGGCAGCUUUGUAAAAUUUUAAUUUUAAAUUUUUUUUUUUCUUUUCUAGAAAAAAGAGUAGCUGUAUUUUGUACAUAAAUUAAAUAGUAAAAAUAAAWUCAAUUAAAGCUAGAAUCUAAUAGAGGAAAAACCAAAUAAUACUAAGAGUAGGGAUGAUAUCCAUAGAUACUAAGGGGAAUACUAAGGGCGAAAGCUUUUUUUGUACUAAAGAUUGACGCUGAGAAACGAAGGUGAGAAUUGGAAAUAGGAUUAGAUACCCAGAUUCCUCUCACUGUCAACGAUGAAUGGUGGUUGUUAGUUUUAAUAAAAACUGAUGGCGAUGUUAUCCCGAUAACCAUUCCCCCUUCGCCAUUCUCCCCCCYUUGCCACCAUUCAUUUUUUGCUGUUUUAUAAAAUUUUUGAGA